AACGAACGCUGGCGGCAGGCCUAACACAUGCAAGUCGAACGCCCUAGCAAUAGGGAGUGGGCAGACGGGUGAGUAACACGUGGGGAACCUUCCCUAUAGUACGGGAAUAUACCAGGGAAACUUGGAGCAAUACCGUAUACGCCCGAGAGGGGAAAGAUUUAUCGCUAUAGGAUGGGCCCGCGUAGGAUUAGCUAGUUGGUGAGGUAAUGGCUCACCAAGGCGACGAUCCUUAGCUGGUUUGAGAGAACGACCAGCCACACUGGGACUGAGACACGGCCCAGACUCCUACGGGAGGCAGCAGUGGGGAAUAUUGGACAAUGGGCGCAAGCCUGAUCCAGCCAUGCCGCGUGAGUGAUGGAGGCCUUAGGGUUGUAAAGCUCUUUUGCCGGGGACGAUAAUGACGGUACCCGGAGAAUAAGUCCCGGCUAACUUCGUGCCAGCCGCCGCAGU
rnacentral:rRNA from 1 species